rnacentral:piRNA from 1 species
AUCUGGAAGAAGCUGAAGAUGAAAUAGAGG